GCCACAGCCAUAUCACCCUGCAGCCCAAGACUGGUUGCCCACUGAAGCUAAGCAGGGUUGAGCCUGGUCAGUACCUGGAUGGGAGAACUCCUGGGAAAACUAGGUUGCUGCUGGAA
rnacentral:rRNA from 1 species